GGGUUGUGAGGUUAAGCGACUAAGCGUACACGGUGGAUGCCCUGGCAGUCAGAGGCGAUGAAGGACGUGCUAAUCUGCGAUAAGCGUCGGUGAGGUGAUAUGAACCGUUAUAACCGGCGAUUUCCGAAUGGGGAAACCCAGUGUGUUUCGACACACUAUCAUUAACUGAAUCCAUAGGUUAAUGAGGCGAACCGGGGGAACUGAAACAUCUAAGUACCCCGAGGAAAAGAAAUCAACCGAGAUUCCCCCAGUAGCGGCGAGCGAACGGGGAGGAGCCCAGAGCCUGAAUCAGUGUGUGUGUUAGUGGAAGCGUCUGGAAAGGCGCGCGAUACAGGGUGACAGCCCCGUACACAAAAAUGCACAUGCUGUGAGCUCGAUGAGUAGGGCGGGACACGUGGUAUCCUGUCUGAAUAUGGGGGGACCAUCCUCCAAGGCUAAAUACUCCUGACUGACCGAUAGUGAACCAGUACCGUGAGGGAAAGGCGAAAAGAACCCCGGCGAGGGGAGUGAAAAAGAACCUGAAACCGUGUACGUACAAGCAGUGGGAGCCUCUUAAUGGGGUGACUGCGUACCUUUUGUAUAAUGGGUCAGCGACUUAUAUUCUGUAGCAAGGUUAACCGAAUAGGGGAGCCGAAGGGAAACCGAGUCUUAACUGGGCGUUAAGUUGCAGGGUAUAGACCCGAAACCCGGUGAUCUAGCCAUGGGCAGGUUGAAGGUUGGGUAACACUAACUGGAGGACCGAACCGACUAAUGUUGAAAAAUUAGCGGAUGACUUGUGGCUGGGGGUGAAAGGCCAAUCAAACCGGGAGAUAGCUGGUUCUCCCCGAAAGCUAUUUAGGUAGCGCCUCGUGAAUUCAUCUCCGGGGGUAGAGCACUGUUUCGGCAAGGGGGUCAUCCCGACUUACCAACCCGAUGCAAACUGCGAAUACCGGAGAAUGUUAUCACGGGAGACACACGGCGGGUGCUAACGUCCGUCGUGAAGAGGGAAACAACCCAGACCGCCAGCUAAGGUCCCAAAGUCAUGGUUAAGUGGGAAACGAUGUGGGAAGGCCCAGACAGCCAGGAUGUUGGCUUAGAAGCAGCCAUCAUUUAAAGAAAGCGUAAUAGCUCACUGGUCGAGUCGGCCUGCGCGGAAGAUGUAACGGGGCUAAACCAUGCACCGAAGCUGCGGCAGCGACACUAUGUGUUGUUGGGUAGGGGAGCGUUCUGUAAGCCUGUGAAGGUGGCCUGUGAGGGUUGCUGGAGGUAUCAGAAGUGCGAAUGCUGACAUAAGUAACGAUAAAGCGGGUGAAAAGCCCGCUCGCCGGAAGACCAAGGGUUCCUGUCCAACGUUAAUCGGGGCAGGGUGAGUCGACCCCUAAGGCGAGGCCGAAAGGCGUAGUCGAUGGGAAACAGGUUAAUAUUCCUGUACUUGGUGUUACUGCGAAGGGGGGACGGAGAAGGCUAUGUUGGCCGGGCGACGGUUGUCCCGGUUUAAGCGUGUAGGCUGGUUUUCCAGGCAAAUCCGGAAAACCAAGGCUGAGGCGUGAUGACGAGGCACUACGGUGCUGAAGCGACAAAUGCCCUGCUUCCAGGAAAAGCCUCUAAGCAUCAGGUAACAUCAAAUCGUACCCCAAACCGACACAGGUGGUCAGGUAGAGAAUACCAAGGCGCUUGAGAGAACUCGGGUGAAGGAACUAGGCAAAAUGGUGCCGUAACUUCGGGAGAAGGCACGCUGAUAUGUAGGUGAAGCGACUUGCUCGUGGAGCUGAAAUCAGUCGAAGAUACCAGCUGGCUGCAACUGUUUAUUAAAAACACAGCACUGUGCAAACACGAAAGUGGACGUAUACGGUGUGACGCCUGCCCGGUGCCGGAAGGUUAAUUGAUGGGGUUAGCGGUAACGCGAAGCUCUUGAUCGAAGCCCCGGUAAACGGCGGCCGUAACUAUAACGGUCCUAAGGUAGCGAAAUUCCUUGUCGGGUAAGUUCCGACCUGCACGAAUGGCGUAAUGAUGGCCAGGCUGUCUCCACCCGAGACUCAGUGAAAUUGAACUCGCUGUGAAGAUGCAGUGUACCCGCGGCAAGACGGAAAGACCCCGUGAACCUUUACUAUAGCUUGACACUGAACAUUGAGCCUUGAUGUGUAGGAUAGGUGGGAGGCUUUGAAGUGUGGACGCCAGUCUGCAUGGAGCCGACCUUGAAAUACCACCCUUUAAUGUUUGAUGUUCUAACGUUGGCCCCUAAUCGGGGUUGCGGACAGUGUCUGGUGGGUAGUUUGACUGGGGCGGUCUCCUCCUAAAGAGUAACGGAGGAGCACGAAGGUUGGCUAAUCCUGGUCGGACAUCAGGAGGUUAGUGCAAUGGCAUAAGCCAGCUUGACUGCGAGCGUGACGGCGCGAGCAGGUGCGAAAGCAGGUCAUAGUGAUCCGGUGGUUCUGAAUGGAAGGGCCAUCGCUCAACGGAUAAAAGGUACUCCGGGGAUAACAGGCUGAUACCGCCCAAGAGUUCAUAUCGACGGCGGUGUUUGGCACCUCGAUGUCGGCUCAUCACAUCCUGGGGCUGAAGUAGGUCCCAAGGGUAUGGCUGUUCGCCAUUUAAAGUGGUACGCGAGCUGGGUUUAGAACGUCGUGAGACAGUUCGGUCCCUAUCUGCCGUGGGCGCUGGAGAACUGAGGGGGGCUGCUCCUAGUACGAGAGGACCGGAGUGGACGCAUCACUGGUGUUCGGGUUGUCAUGCCAAUGGCACUGCCCGGUAGCUAAAUGCGGAAGAGAUAAGUGCUGAAAGCAUCUAAGCACGAAACUUGCCCCGAGAUGAGUUCUCCCUGAGACUUAGAGUCUCCUGAAGGAACGUUGAAGACGACGACGUUGAUAGGCCGGGUGUGUAAGCGCAGCGAUGCGUUGAGCUAACCGGUACUAAUGAACCGUGAGGCUUAACCUUACAACGCCGAAG
rnacentral:rRNA from 1 species